UUUGAGGUCAUGUCUACCCCUCACAUUAUCGCAUAAACUAAUCAUAUUUUGAGAUUGCAUUUGCCCAUUUAUUCUUAAAGUCGAGCGAGGUUUAAGUGAUUAGCUCUAAUGUCAAGCUUGAAAUCUAUGAAGAGAAAACGUCGAGACAAAUUGCUUCCGAUCUUACCAUGAUUAUGGCUUUGAUGUUGUCCUUGGUGAGCUUUAUGGAGUUCUGGAGAUCCUCCGAUUCAUUGACCGUCGCCUCUUCGCUGUAGAAGGCGAGCAAGUCGUCCACCAUGUCCGUCUCGGCCUCGUCGCUGACGAUGGCCUUGUUCAUCUUCUUCACCAGGUGGUCGUCGAUGAUCUUGUCAAUGAACCCGUCGAGCGACCGGCGAGCCUUGACGAGCCUCUCGUUGAUCCCCUGCGGGUCGAUCCGGCCGAGAUACGGGAUGAAAUCCGCGAGGUUGAAAGCCCCGAACAGCUUUGAAAACUCCUGCAAUAUCCCAAUGAACUUGUCUUGCCCUUCGGUCGCGCUCGCUCCGAGCGCAGCCCUGUAGGUUCAAAGACAGUUUCAUGUUUUAGUACUAAGCGAUUUUCAUGUUCUCUAUUCAUAUGAUGCUGUAGCAGUGUAUCGGAAGUGGACAAGUAAUUUCGAAAUUUAAAUUUUUUUCAUAAUUGGAUAUAGAGUUCAAAGACGAAAAAUGUAAAUAAUGUAAAAGAAUCUACAAAGCCUGUGUAUAUAAAAUUAUUCCUA